GUUUCCGUAGGUGAACCUGCAGGUGGAUCAUCGCUGAUUCCUAAUGGAUUCUAGCUUUGGCCUUGAUCAGUCGUUGCCGCAAUAGAAGUAGAGCUCUUGAUCUUUACUUCUGCGACUUUGAUCAACCUCAGCAUGUACAACCACGAGGUUUCCCAAAGGUUUUGCUAGCGGCACUGGUUGGACCGUCGCUAUUUUUUUAAUAGCGUAAUAGCAAAAGAACUUACGACCUUUAGUCGUGAACGUAGGGAAAUAACGAAACUGCAUACCGUUUCACCUCGAAUCAUAUAGAUUUAGCUGGCUAUUUCAACUUUUGAAAUAAAAAGUGAGUCUUAAUGACUGGUCAUUUUUUUGACUGGCGGCUAUAUUCUAUAUAACUAUCUAAAGUUUAAUUUUUGCGUUGACCGUUUAUAUUCUUUUUUUGAAUGUAACGAUCCUUGACUACCUUUAGGGAUUGAUCGGUUGCUUCCUUAAUCGAUGAAGAGCGGAGCUAGCUCCGUUAUUUACCACGAAUUGCGAACGCUUUGAGUGGCAAAAUCUUGAAUGCACAGCACCGCUGGCUUCGGCUAACGGUACGUCUGCAUCAGGGAAGUAUUAAAUACUACCAGUAGCUGGAUGCUGGUCUGUCGGACGGCUAUGGCAGGGCCUAUUUGUGCCAUACCCGUCUUAGCUCAGAAUAAUAAUUGCAACAUCGUACGAGUCUACAAACUCAUACGAACUGUAGUCUGGCGAGAGCUUAACUGCACUGCCAAAUAACUGCCAUGAAAGCUUGACAAUGGUAUCUGUUAUUUGGUUGCCCUUGUGGUGUAGUUUCAAUCUUGUUAUUGGAUCUUAAGAAUUGCUUCCUGAUGUCAGUCGUGAUUACCGCUGAACUUAAGCAUA
rnacentral:sRNA from 1 species